rnacentral:tRNA from 2 species
GGGGAUGUAGCUUAAUGGUAAAGCUCCAGUCUUCCAAACUGGCUACGCGGGUUCGAUUCCCGUCAUCCCCUCCA